AACCUGCUGAAGGAUCAUGUGCACACGUGUGUACACUAACCUGCUAAUGAUAUUGUGGGCGGUGUAAGCUUGCAUUACAAUAAUAUUACAUGUGCCCUGGGCUGUGUGACUUGUUUUGCAAACAUUCGUUAUGCAUUGCAUAAACAAGUUUGGUAAACUGAGUGGUGCUGUGUUUGUGUACGAUGAUUAGGUUUUGCAACGAAUGUUUUAGUUCAAUACAUGAUGAAUAAUGCAGGACAAUGCAGUAUGCAUUGUGAAUUGCAGAAUUCCGUGAGCUAACAUAUGUUUGAAUGUUACUUGCGCCUUUGGGAUAUUCUUGAAGGUUUGCUUGGUUCAAUGCCAAGUAUCUUCCAUAUGCAAUACUGCUGUUUAGCAUUGCUGUGAACAAGGAGAGUCAAUGUGUAUUGCAUUGAACAUGGAUGUGUUGCAGCUGCUUUUGCAACCUAAGCAUGGUUGAUUGGGGGCAAACUUGUUUCGUCAUGUGCUGGUUGCUGUUUUGCAAAAUGUGCACAACUGAGACAAGCUGAAGACUUGCAUAUGCUUAGCAUGAAGUGAAGCACAUACACCUGCUGAGUUUAAGCAUAUAAGUAAGUGGUGGAAAUUAAACCAAAUGGGAUAUCUUUAGUAAUUACGAAUGAACAAGGAUAUGCUUAGCUUGACAAAUGGAGCUAUUGGCUUUGAAUUGUAUUGUGGAAAUGUAUUACCAACAGAGGUGCAGGUGCCAGCAUAUUGAAAUAGAGCGUCAAUGAGGGUGAGAAUCCUGUUUGCCAUGUGCAGCCCUUUGUGCACGGUGUAUAUUUGCUGAGUCACACUCCCUGGCAUUGGAAUGCAAAGUGGGUGGUAAGUUUCAUGUAAAGGUAAACAUGCAACUGAGACUGAUAGCACACAAGUGCCAUGAGGGAAAUAUGAAAAAGGUUUUUGAAAAGAUAAUAAAAUGAGUUUGUAUUUGCUGAACACAAAGUAAACAGACUUGAUUUGCUUGGUGGGAGUGUUGCACUUGCUUGACAAGAGCUUUGGGCUGUGUGUGUAAUGAUUCGUUCUUUGCAUGCCAGUUUCUAUGUGUACAUCUGAUUACCUUUGCACAUGAAUGAUAAGUCUCCUGUGGGGGGUGGAUUGCAUGUGCAUGUAAUGAUUUGUGUUUUGAUAAAUGUGUCUGGUGUAUGUGUGUGUGUUCCUGUGCUUGGGGAUGCUUCCUUCCUUGGACUUACAAGCCCUGACACACACAUGCUGGCAAAAUGCUUCUGCUUGACCCGUCUUGAAACACGGACCAAGGAGUCUAACAUAUGUGCAACGUUUGAAGGUGGUAUACCUUUGUGUGCAGUGAAAGUGUCAGCUGGGAUGUGUGCACCAGCACCCAAUUAAUUAGCGGACAGAGGUUUGAGUUGGAGCAUAUCUAUUAGGACC
rnacentral:rRNA from 1 species